rnacentral:tRNA from 1 species
GCUGUAAUAGCUCAACGGAAGAGCAAUCGGCUUAUAUUAUAACCGAUAGACGAUAGUUCGACACUAUCUUACAGUACCA